CUCAAGGUAGUAAAAUUAAUACGCCGGAGUUAAGUUCCGGAGAUAGGAAUAAUCCUUUUUGAGA
rnacentral:tRNA from 1 species